GCGUUGGUGGUAUAGUGGUGAGCAUAGCUGCCUUCCAAGCAGUUGACCAGGGUUCGAUUACCGGCCAACGCA
rnacentral:tRNA from 1 species